GAGGAGGUCGCGGCUGAUUAGCUAGUUGGCGGGGUAAUGGCCCACCAAGGCAAAGAUCGGUAGCCGGCCUGAGAGGGCGCACGGCCACACUGGAACUGAAACACGGUCCAGACUCCUACGGGAGGCAGCAGUGGGGAAUUUUGCGCAAUGGGGGAAACCCUGACGCAGCAACGCCGCGUGGAGGAUGAAGUCCCUUGGGACGUAAACUCCUUUCGACCCGGACGAUAAUGACGGUACGGGUGGAAGAAGCCCCGGCUAACUUCGUGCCAGCAGCCGCGGUAAUACGAGGGGGGCAAGCGUUGUUCGGAAUUAUUGGGCGUAAAGGGCGCGUAGGCGGUGCGGUAAGUCACCUGUGAAACCUCUAGGCUCAACCUAGAGCCUGCAGGCGAAACUGCCGUGCUUGAGGGUGGGAGAGGUGCGUGGAAUUCCCGGUGUAGCGGUGAAAUGCGUAGAUAUCGGGAGG
rnacentral:rRNA from 1 species